rnacentral:rRNA from 1 species
CCUACGGGAGGCAGCAGUGAGGAAUAUUGGUCAAUGGACGAGAGUCUGAACCAGCCAAGUAGCGUGAAGGAUGACUGCCCUAUGGGUUGUAAACUUCUUUUAUAUGGGAAUAAAACGUUCCACGUGUGGGAUUUUGUAUGUACCAUAUGAAUAAGGAUCGGCUAACUCCGUGCCAGCAGCCGCGGUAAUACGGAGGAUCCGAGCGUUAUCCGGAUUUAUUGGGUUUAAAGGGAGCGUAGGUGGAUUGUUAAGUCAGUUGUGAAAGUUUGCGGCUCAACCGUAAAAUUGCAGUUGAAACUGGCAGUCUUGAGUACAGUAGAGGUGGGCGGAACUCGUGGUGUAGCGGUGAAAUGCUUAGAUAUCACGAAGAACUCCGAUUGCGAAGGCAGUUCACUGGACUGCAACUGACACUGAGGCUCGAAAGUGUGGGUAUCAAACAGGAUUAGAUACCCGAGUAGUC